GACGAACGCUGGCGGCGUGCUUAACACAUGCAAGUCGAACGGAAAGGCCCUGCUUUUGUGGGGGGCUCGAGUGGCGAACGGGUGAGUAACACGUGAGUAACCUGCCCUUGACUUUGGGAUAACUUCAGGAAACUGGGGCUAAUACCGGAUAGGAGCUCCUGCUGCAUGGUGGGGGUUGGAAAGUUUCGGCGGUUGGGGAUGGACUCGCGGCUUAUCAGCUCGUUGGUGGGGUAGUGGCUUACCAAGGCUUUGACGGGUAGCCGGCCUGAGAGGGUGACCGGCCACAUUGGGACUGAGAUACGGCCCAGACUCCUACGGGAGGCAGCAGUGGGGAAUAUUGCACAAUGGGCGGAAGCCUGAUGCAGCAACGCCGCGUGCGGGAUGACGGCCUUCGGGUUGUAAACCGCUUUCGCCUGUGACGAAGCGUGAGUGACGGUAAUGGGUAAAGAAGCACCGGCUAACUACGUG
rnacentral:rRNA from 1 species